rnacentral:rRNA from 1 species
UAAGCACGUCAUCUGUCUGAUGCAGUCGAGCGGUAACAGGGGUAGCUUGCUACCCGCUGACGAGCGGCGGACGGGUGAGUAAUGCUUGGGGAGCUGCCCGAUAGAGGGGGAUAACAGUUGGAAACGACUGCUAAUACCGCAUAACCUCUUCGGAGUAAAGCGGGGGACCUUCGGGCCUCGCGCUAUCGGAUGCGCCCAAGUGGGAUUAGCUAGUUGGUGAGGUAAUGGCUCACCAAGGCGACGAUCCCUAGCUGGUCUGAGAGGAUGAUCAGCCACACUGGAACUGAGACACGGUCCAGACUCCUACGGGAGGCAGCAGUGGGGAAUAUUGCACAAUGGGCGAAAGCCUGAUGCAGCCAUGCCGCGUGUAUGAAGAAGGCCUUCGGGUUGUAAAGUACUUUCAGCGAGGAGGAAAGGGUGUACGUUAAUACCGUGCAUCUGUGACGUUACUCGCAGAAGAAGCACCGGCUAACUCCGUGCCAGCAGCCGCGGUAAUACGGAGGGUGCGAGCGUUAAUCGGAAUUACUGGGCGUAAAGCGCAUGCAGGCGGCUGAUUAAGCCAGAUGUGAAAGCCCGAGGCUCAACCUCGGAAUAGCAUUUGGAACUGGUCAGCUAGAGUUCUUGAGAGGGUGGUAGAAUUUCAGGUGUAGCGGU